rnacentral:rRNA from 1 species
AUUGUGUGAAUACAUAGCACAUUCGAGGUAGACGCAGAGAACUGAAACAUCUAAGUACCUGCAGGAAGAGAAAGAAAAUUCGAUUCCCUGAGUAGCGGCGAGCGAAACGGGAAAAGCCCAAACCAGCAAGCUUGCUUGUUGGGGUUGUAGGACUCCAAUAUGGUAGUUCUUUCAGAUAGUCGAAUGACUUGGAAAAGUCAGUCAAAGAGGGUAAAAACCCCGUAGACGAAAUGUGGAAGACACCUAGGAGGAUCCUGAGUACGGCGGAACACGAGAAAUUCCGUCGGAAUCCGGGAGGACCAUCUCCCAAGGCUAAAUACUCCCUAGUGACCGAUAGUGAACCAGUACCGUGAGGGAAAGGUGAAAAGCACCCCGGAAGGGGAGUGAAAUAGAACCUGAAACCGUGUGCCUACAACAAGUCAAAGCCCGUUAAUGGGUGAUGGCGUGCCUUUUGUAGAAUGAACCGGCGAGUUACGAUUGCAUGCGAGGUUAAGUUGAA